CUGCCCAGCAAUGAAAAUGGAACUAGGUGGCUGUUGCUCCCUUAAGUAUGCAAGAGGCAAUUACUAAAGAGAAAGCAGUGGCUAAGCAUCUACUUUGGCAAAACAGUUACUUGGAAGAAGCAGGGGAAGUCUGCUCCUGUGAUUGAUGGGCAACAGACAUGUGACUCACACUGGCCUUCUGCUGAGCUUGAAUCUGUGUGAUGAACCGAGAGAGAGAGAGAGAGAGAGAGAGAGAAUGGCUGAAAAUGGAGGGAGAAAGCAGCAGCAGCAGAUGGGAGGGCAAGAGAUCUUUUGCAAGUGUAAAUUACUUUGUGUGUGGUUAAUGAUGGAGAUCAAGUAACAACAAUCAAAGCAAGAGAGCUGCUGGGAGCAAACCGACAUUUCAACAGCACAGCCCAUUUACUGGAGGAAAUCUCUUGCCCUGUGAAGGAACUGAAAAUAAGUUGU